rnacentral:rRNA from 1 species
UGGGGAAUUUUGCACAAUGGGGGAAACCCUGAUGCAGCGACACCGCGUGAUUUAGAAGGCCAUCGGGUUGUAAAAAUCUUUUCUAUGGGAAGAAAAUGACAGUACCAUAGGAAUAAGGACCGGCUAAUUACGUGCCAGCAGCCGCGGUAAUACGUAAGGUCCGAGCGUUGUCCGGAAUCAUUGGGCGUAAAGGGUACGUAGGCGGGUAAGCAAGUUAGAAGUGAAAUCCUAUAGCUCAACUAUAGUAAGCUUUUAAAACUGCUCAUCUUGAGGUAUGGAAGGGAAAGUGGAAUUCCUAGUGUAGCGGUGAAAUGCGCAGAUAUUAGGAGGAAUACCGGUGGCGAAGGCGACUUUCUGGCCAUAACCUGACGCUGAGGUACGAAAGCGUGGGUAGCAAACAGG